rnacentral:rRNA from 1 species
GCGGUGUGGGAUGGGCCCGCGGCCUAUCAGCUUGUUGGUGAGGUUACGGCUCACCAAGGCGACGACGGGUAGCCGGCCUGAGAGGGUGUCCGGCCACACUGGGACUGAGAUACGGCCCAG